rnacentral:rRNA from 1 species
GACAGAGGGGGCAAGCGUUGCUCGGAAUUACUGGGCGUAAGGGCGCGUAGGCGGGAUGGCAAGUCGGGCGUGAAAUCCCUCGGCUCAACUGAGGAUCGUCGAUCGAUACUGCCGUUCUUGAGGAUUGCAGAGGAGACUGGAAUUCCCGGUGUAGCGGUGAAAUGUGUAGAGAUCGGGAGGAACACCGGUGGCGAAGGCGGGUCUCUGGGCAAUUCCUGACGCUGAGGCGCGAAAGCGUGGGGAGCAAACGGG